rnacentral:tRNA from 1 species
GCGCCCGUAGCUCAGCUGGAUAGAGCGCGACACUACGGAUGUCGAGGUCAUGGGUUCGAAUCCUUUCGGGCGCGCCA